rnacentral:lncRNA from 1 species
ACCACCUGUUGUGUCCCACCUCAAUCCUACAGGGCCACCUAGAACAUGGGCCACCACCCCCAUGGCCCCUCCUUGAUCCACAGGGUCACCUAGAACAGGUGCCACCACCCCUUGUGUCCCCCUCAAUCCACAGGAUCACCUAGAACAUGGGCCACCACCCCCAUGGCCCCUCCUUGAUCCACAGGGCCACCUAGAAUGUCACCCUGUGGUCCAGGAGCCACCACCCAAUGUCCUGCCAGUCUGUAGGGUCACCUAGAAUGGCCCAUGGUCUCACAGGAGCCACCACCCCCUUGUGUCCCCCCUCAAUCCAUAGGAUCACCUACAAUGUCACCCUGUGGUCCAGGGGCCACCAUCCAAUGUCCUGCCAGUCUGUAGGGUCACCUAGAACAGUCCCAUGUCCCACAGGUGCCACCACCCCCUUGUGUCCCCCCUCAAUCCACAGAAUGAUCUAGAACAUCCCUUGGUCCCUCAGGUGCCACCACCCCCUUGUGUCCCUCCUUCAAUCCAUAGAAUGACCCAGAACGUCACCCCAUGGUGACCACUGUGUGCUGCUGGUGGCAGGGGCAAUGCAGUGGGGACACGGGGACAUGGGGACAUGAGGACAGACAGACAGACACAGGGACGUGGGACAUGGGCACAUGAGGACAGACAGACACAGGGACAUGGGGACAGACAGACAUGUGGAUGUGGGACACAGGGACAUGGGGACAGACAGACACAGGGACAUGGGGACAGACAUACACAGAGAUAUGGGGACAGACAGACACAUGGAUGUGGGACAUGGGGACAUGGGGACAGACAGACAGACACAGGGACAUGGGACACAGAGACACAGGACAUGGGGACAGACAGACAUGUGGGCAAGGGGACAUGGGGACAGAGACACAUGGACAUGGGACACAGGGACAAGGGGACACAGACAUGGGGACACAGACUUGAGGACAGAUGGACAUGGGGACAUGGGGACACAGGGACACUGACACAUGGACAUACAGACAUGAGGACAUUUGCCAUAUGGACACAUGGACACAUGGACACACAGACAUGGGGACACACGGACAUGAGGACAGAUGGACAUGGGGACACGGGCCCGAUGGACAUUGGGACACAUGGAAGUGAGGACAUUGGCCAUAUGGACAUGGGGACACAAGGACACAUGGACAAAUGGACAUUGGGACAGACAGACAUGGGGACAUCGGCCAUAUGGACGUGGGGACACAUGGACACACAGACACGGGGACACACAGACACGGGGACACACAGACAAGGGGACACAGGGGGACAUCGGCCAUAUCAACAUGGGGACACGGGGACACACAGACACAUGGACAAAUGGACAUGGGGACACACGGACAUGGGGAUAUGGGGACACAUGGAUGCAGGGACACACGGACAUUGGCCAUAUGGACAUGGGGACAAACGGACACAUGGACAUAGAGGCACAAGGACAUGGGGACAUUGGCGAUGUAGACAUUGGUACACAUGGACACACGGACAUGGGGAACACGGACAUUAG